rnacentral:rRNA from 1 species
CAGUAGCCGCGGUAAUACGUAGGGUGCAAGCGUUAAUCGGAAUUACUGGGCGUAAAGCGCGCGUAGGUGGUUUGUUAAGUUGGAUGUGAAAUCCCCGGGCUCAACCUGGGAACUGCAUCCAAAACUGGCAAGCUAGAGUAUGGUAGAGGGUGGUGGAAUUUCCUGUGUAGCGGUGAAAUGCGUAGAUAUAGGAAGGAACACCAGUGGCGAAGGCGACCACCUGGACUGAUACUGACACUGAGGUGCGAAAGCGUGGGGAGCAAACAGGAUUAGAUACCCCCGUAGUCCCUGUCUCUUAUAC